rnacentral:rRNA from 1 species
AGGACGAACGCUGGCGGCGUGCUUAACACAUGCAAGUCGAGCGGAAAGGCCCUUCGGGGUACUCGAGCGGCGAACGGGUGAGUAACACGUGAGUAAUCUGCCCCUAGCUCUGGGAUAGCUCCGGGAAACCGGGAUUAAUACCAGAUACGACCACUUUAGACAUCUUCUGUGGUGGAAAGAACUUCGGCUAGGGAUGAACUCGCGGCCUAUCAGCUUGUUGGUGAGGUAACGGCUCACCAAGGCGACGACGGGUAGCCGGCCUGAGAGGGCGACCGGCCACACUGGGACUGAGACACGGCCCAGACUCCUACGGGAGGCAGCAGUGGGAAUAUUGCGCAAUGGGCGAAAGCCUGACGCAGCGACGCCGCGUGGGGAUGAAGGCCUUCGGGUUGUAAACCCCUUUCAGCAGGGACGAAGCGAAAGUGACGGUACCUGCAGAAGAAGCGCGGCUAACUACGUGCCAGCAGCCGC